UAAAUCAAAAUUCUCUGAAGUCAUAUUAUGUUUAUAUUGUUUUUCAAUCUCUUUUCUGCGUUUAAUUGCUUCUGUACAUUCUGAAUCCCACCAAGGGGGUGAAGGAAUUUUGUUAGAUAAAUUUCCCUUUAGAGGGAAAACUUCAUUUGCUGCUUCGAUCAGAACAUUUGCAAGAGCAUUGGCACAAUCUAGUUGGUUAUCAGAUGAUAUAUUUGGGAGUGAAGAUAUUUUACUUUCUACACAAUUUUUAAAAGUUAGCCAAGUGUCACUAGUACUGUCUGGUAACCUAUGUUUUAAUUGAGAUGAAUGUUUCAGUGCUUUAGGUUUAUUAUAUGGAAAAGAAAUUAAAAUAGGGAAAUGGUCACUUCCAUAUGAGGACGGCAGGGUGCACCAGGUUAAGGAAGAGGCCAAACUUGGUGUACAAAUGGAGAGGUCAACUGCACUAACAUUUUGAUUUGGUGCUGUGAGGCGUGUGGGAGAGCCAGUAUUUAAAGUACAAAGGUUAUUACUGUCAAUUAUAUCAAGAAGUGCUUCACCAUAAUUGUUUGACACUGUACUACCCCAUGUCUGAUGGUGAGAGUUGAAAUCCCCUAAUAAUAAAAAUGGUCUUGGUAAGGAAGAGAUGAUCUGAUCAAUUUCAUUAAUAAUAGACAAAGAGGGAUGUGGAAUAUAUACAGAGGCUAUACAUAUAUUACAUACACUUACAGCUAAAAUAGAAAAAUCUUCACUAUGUACAGGUAAAUUUACAGGAGAGAAUGGGACGGAGUUCCUGAUGAAAAUAGCCACUCCACCAUAUCCAUCAGGUCUGUCUUCUCUAAGGCAAUGGGCUGGCAGAAACAACAUCCGCAAAGGAUUUGGAGGCAGGUGGAUGUAGCUUUGAGGCUUCCGCGUAUGAAACACAAUUAUGGGCCAUAUAAUGUUUUAUUUGCUUCUGGCGAGCCAGCUCUGGACAAGCUUUGCUGGUGGCUAAAUGGGACCCGGAACAUAAGCAGCAAAAAGCGUUAUCUUCCUCCACCAUACAGGAGUCACCAGUGUGAUCAUGACCACACUUGUAACAGCGUGGUUUCGACCGACACUGUACCUUUGUGUGGCCAAAGCGGCAACAGUUGUAACACUGUAUGGUAGGGAAGAUAUAUAGUUCCACUGGAAGUGCAUUAUAGCAAAUAAAAAUACGCUUCGGCAAGACCUGGCCAUCGAAAGUGAUCACAGCAGAUUGUGACGGUUUCCAUACUGGUGUACCAUUAAUAAAGGUUUUAUAAUUGA